AGCAUGUAGGCGGAGGUUCCAGGUAAAUCCGGUACCUUUUAACGCUGAGGUGUGAUGACGAGGCACUACGGUGCUGAAGUAACAAAUGCCCUGCUUCCAGGAAAAGCCUCUAAGCAUCAGGUAACAUCAAAUCGUACCCCAAACCGACACAGGUGGUCAGGUAGAGAAUACCAAGGCGCUUGAGAGAACUCGGGUGAAGGAACUAGGCAAAAUGGUGCCGUAACUUCGGGAGAAGGCACGCUGGUGUGUAGGUGA
rnacentral:rRNA from 2 species